rnacentral:tRNA from 1 species
GAGGGUGUAACUCAGUGUUAGAGUGUAUGCUUGGCAAGCACAGGGUCCUGAGUUCAAUCCCCAGUAUUGCCA